UCCGGUGCAGUUGGGGCCACCAACCUUGCUAACUGAAGCGGAAACUCUUGACUUGUUAUCUUACAUUAACGGAAGCCCCCAGCAUCCUGGGAAGUUAUGGGGCUUACAGGUUAACUCUAGCCCUUACAUUGUCACUAAAAGUGUACUGUACCAUACACCUCCUCUGCUUCACGUUCCACAAAAGGUGUGAAGAUAUGGGACUGCUUCAGAGCAGCAGACUAUGAUUGGCUUCCUGAUCUAGCAGAGAGGCAUGGCUUUGCCAGAUGCAGAUAGUUUUCUGUGAUUGUUUGACGUUUGGAAUUCUGGAAACUUCAGAGGGCCCCGACAGACAUGAUGGUGUACAGACAUGCAAAGAAGACCAACAGACAAAGGAGGGGUACUUAGGACCCAUGGUAGAAAAAGCAAGCAGGACACAACACAGCAGCCUGAAGACUCAAACUCCUUAAAAUCCCCUCCAAAUACUAUUAAACACACUACCUUUAAGACUCAUUUUCUACAAAAUGGACUGAUGAACCAGAACACUUGAAUUCUGCCGUGAGCUUUGGGAUGAGCUGAAAUUUAAAGAGAGAGGGAAUGCGUGUCCUUCUAAUACUGGGAAAGAAGAGUAUAAAAGGGCAACAGAUAGCAGUUGAUUGGUUGAUGUCCAUCAGCGGGAUGAAGAAAGAAAAAUCUCAGAUGGUUGCAAAAAAUCUAUACAGGAAUAUUCAUCACAGUAUGACCAGGCAAAUCUGUAUCUUCUCUUCUAUCCAGAGUGAAAACAUCUACUGUUCCCCGUGGAAUCUAAUACACAGCGAGAUCUAAUGAAACCAUUGUUUCAGAAUGAGAUCCCCUCACAUCUCUCUCUCAUCUAUCAUCUAUCUACCCACAAUGGAUCUAUGUAUUCACAAUAUGCACAUAUAUUAAAUGAAGCCCAUCAUAUAUAGUGGAUAAUAUAUAUGUGCUAUAUCUUAUACAUAUAUAAUAGAAUAUAUGAAAUAAUGUGACAUAUGCACAACAGCUGCUAAGGAAUGAAUGAGAGAAUGAAUUCUUAUUCCUAACAGGAAUAUUUAAACCAGAUGAUUCAUCUCUUGGCAAGUCUUCUGCUCCUUUAAAGCCUAAUGCCGUGACCCUUUAAUACAGUUCCUAAUGUUGUGGAGACCCCCCAACCAUAAAUUACUCUCAUUGCUAUUCAUAACUGUAAUUUUGUCACUGUUAUGAAUUGCAAUGUAUACAUCUGUAUAUGUCUUAGAUGACCCCUGUGAAGAGGUCAUUUGACUCCCAAAGGGGUUGUGACCUGCAUUUUGAGAAAUGCUGUUCUAGAUUGUGACGAAACACAGCCACAUACCUUUACCUGAAUAAUUUUAUAGAAACAUAUACAAGUUUUUGUAUUAUAAAUAUCCAUAAUGUACAAAGUGUAAUUUGGAAACAUGUAUCAGAAGUUGGUUCCUGCCUCUGGGAGAGGCAGGUAGCGGCUGUAGCAACUUGAGAAAGACUGACACUUCCUGUCUUUCUUUACGUAGUUGGAAAUUUUGGAUUGGGUACAUUUUCAUCACCGAAUGACAUACACAUAGAAAAAGUAUAUCACCUAACAAGAUUUUAAGUGCAUAUGCUUUUUGAUUCAAAUAUUUCUCUCCCGAGAAUAAUAUCCUGCAAACGCAUCC
rnacentral:lncRNA from 1 species